AUUGAACGCUGGCGGCAGGCUUAACACAUGCAAGUCGAGCGGAGAGAGGUAGCUUGCUACUGAUCUUAGCGGCGGACGGGUGAGUAAUGCUUAGGAAUCUGCCUAUUAGUGGGGGACAACAUUUCGAAAGGAAUGCUAAUACCGCAUACGUCCUACGGGAGAAAGCAGGGGAUCUUCGGGCCUUGCGCUAAUAGAUGAGCCUAAGUCGGAUUAGCUAGUUGGUGGGGUAAAGGCCUACCAAGGCGACGAUCUGUAGCGGGCCUGAGAGGAUGAUCCGCCACACUGGGACUGAGACACGGCCCAGACUCCUACGGGAGGCAGCAGUGGGGAAUAUUGGACAAUGGGCGGAAGCCUGAUCCAGCCAUGCCGCGUGUGUGAAGAAGGCCUUAUGGUUGUAAAGCACUUUAAGCGAGGAGGAGGCUACUUUAGUUAAUACCUAGAGAUAGUGGACGUUACUCGCAGAAUAAGCACCGGCUAACUCUGUGCCAGCAGCCGCAGUAA
rnacentral:rRNA from 1 species